UACAGAGGUCUCAAGCGUUGUUCGGAUUCAUUGGGCGUAAAGGGUGCGUAGGCGGCGCGGUAAGUCGGGUGUGAAAUCUCGGGGCUUAACGGCCAGGCGCCAUCCCAUACGGCGCGACUGGAGUGAUGCAGAGGUCGAUGGAAUUGCCGGUGUAGUGGUGAAAUGCGUAGAGAUCGGCAGGAACACCCAGGGGGAAACCAGUCGACUGGGCAUCUACUGACGCUGAGGUGCGAGAGCGUGGGGAGCGAACCGG
rnacentral:rRNA from 1 species